GCCCGCAGAUCAGCGCUGCGCUCGGCUUUGGGCACAGUUUGGUUUGGCAUUGGGAGGUUGCUGCUCCAAGGCUUAGGUAGAAGAGGGAUCAGAAGUGAGAGCAACAGAAGAAGUGUUGUGAAAUGCUGUCCUCUGAGGGUGAUGUCUGGUGGUGUACUCUUGAACUCUGAGCCCCUUGCCCCUGUGGAGAACUUGAGGUUUAAAGCGUCUCUGAAGAGCUGGCCAUCUUGACUUCCUCACAUUAGUGUGCAGACUAGCAAAAUAAACAUUUUUGGCAUUUUA
rnacentral:lncRNA from 1 species